rnacentral:tRNA from 3 species
GGGCCUAUAGCUCAGUUGCGGUUAGAGCGCACGCCUGAUAAGCGUGAGGUCAGUGGUUCAACUCCACUUAGGCCCACCA